rnacentral:rRNA from 1 species
UACGAAGGGUGCAAACGUUGCUCGGAAUCAUUGGGCGUAAAGCGCACGUAGGCGGCCUCAUAAGUCGGAUGUGAAAUCCCUCGGCUCAACCGAGGACGUGCAUUCGAAACUGCGAGGCUCGAGUAUGGAGGAGGGUCGCGGAAUUCCCGGUGUAGAGGUGAAAUUCGUAGAUAUCGGGAGGAACACCAGUGGCGAAGGCGGCGACCUGGGCCAAUACUGACGCUGAGGUGCGAAAGCGUGGGGAGCAAACAGG